UGAGAAUUCUCCAGCCAACUUCUGGGAUUCUAAAAAUAGGGGUGUGACUGGAACCCAAAAAGGACAGAUUGUAUGGAGAAUUGAGCCUGGACCGUACUUCAUGGAACCGGAGAUCAAAAUCUGUUUCAAGUACUACCAUGGCAUCAGCGGAGCCCUGCGCGCCACAACCCCCUGUAUUACUGUGAAGAACCCAGCUGUGAUGAUGGGAGCGGAAGGCAUGGAAGGAGGUGCUUCCGGAAGUCUACAUUCUCGGAAACUCGUCAGCUUCACGUUGUCAGG